AACCAGGAGACCUAGUUAUUUUCAGCGGUUAAAAGUGGUUAAGAGAGUGUUAAGUGAAAUUAAUUAAUAUAAUAAAGUAAAAUUUAAAUAUUAUCGAAAACCUUAAACCCGCAUUUCGUUACCAUGAAAUCUUUGAGGGAAACUGGGAUUAGAUACCCCACUAUUCAGAGACAUAAAAACUAUCCAGGGUACUACGAACUAUGUUUAAAACUCAAAGGACUUGGCGGUAUUUUAAACCUUCCAGGGGAACCUGUCCCGGAAUCGAUAAUCCACGUAAUACCUGACCUUGUUUAUUAGUAUGUAUACCGUCGUCGCCAGGUAACUUCCGAGGGGAAAAAAGUUAGCAAAUAAGACUGUUCUAUAGUUUGACGUCAGAUCAAGGUGCAGCUUAUAAUUUGGGGAGGAUGGGUUACAAUUAAAAUUUAUAUAACCGAGGCAACUUGCAAAAUUUCUUUAAAGGAGGACUUGGAAGUAAGAGGAAAUAUAAAAAUCCCUUGAAUACGGCUCUAAAAUAU
rnacentral:rRNA from 1 species